UGGCAGAUAGAAUGCAACAAAUCACCAAAAAGAUCAUACACCAUGACCAAGAACAACCAGCUUCAACUGGAGGGGAUGGCAAUGUACAGACAUGAAAGACUGUCAAAUACGGUGAUUGUAAUAUAAUCUAUCUCCAAAGAAUGAUUAUGAGUAUGUAAUUAACACUUUGUAUGCAGACAUUUCUAUCUCUGAGGAGCUGAGAGAGUCUCAGAUUGUUUAAAUAUACAUCAUAUUCACUGCUGGAGACAAAGUCUAUGGCUUUAGAAGAUAAUUAAAAUUCCUUCCCCUUUGGAAUUAAGAAAAUUGCCUGUGGGAUGGAUAUUAUACCCACCAGCUAUAUGAAUAGAUCUAAACCUGGGAACUCUGAACAUGGGGCUGGAAAGACUCUCAAAGAGCAAUCUGCCCCCAAAAGACAAAUAUCAAAAAAACGUAAUUUCAAUUUCAAAUAACCUGUUCAUGGAGAAAUUAUUAACCAAUCACAGCAUUCUUCGCCACAAAACCCGGACCUAUUCUCAGGAUCCUUCUCAGUGGAGAACUCUGAGUAGCCAAUGCCAAUUAAUCAGAGUCACGUCCUGUUCACUAUCCUGGAAGUUAGUCCACUCUCAUCCCUCCAGUGUGACAGACAGAAGACUGACCUUCAGAGAGUACAUUUGGACUGGUGCCCCGGAGCUACUGUGAAGCUGUCUGAGCUGAAGGUGAUUGUCCCAGCAGGGCUGGGGGUCCAGCUGCCCUCCCCUCCACCUGGCCAGUCAUGGCUCAAGGGCUCUGACUUACAUCGCAGCACACUUGUAACUUGUCAUGUCCCCCCGCUGGGGACCUUGGGUUAAGGUGUUCACAAUUCUUGGUAAGAGCCAACAGUCACACUGCCUAGCAGUGACACAUUAACCCACUGUUUGUGAAUCGGUCCCAGACAAGUUAUUCAAUCUCCUGGCAGAAGUCCAGAUCUCUGAGUCCAGAACACGAAGACUGAAAAGAAAAUCAGAUGUUGGGUCCAGGCCAAACUUGGCCUCCAACUCAUUGUGUAACCUUGGGCAAGUCAUUCUGCUGCACUGGGCUUCAUUUUCCUAUCAAAAGCAGAAAGAACUCAAACCCGAGUCAAGAUCCACGAGCUCCCUUCCAACUCUGACAUUCUAAGAAUCAGAGAUUCUGUGACUUCUCCCUGCAGAAUGCUUGGCUGCAUCACGUUCCUGGUGACCUGAUUCCAGUAAGCAUGGUGAACGAAACAUGUGGUAGUAACAGAACCAGGACCUCAAAUCCAGGUUUGCUGACUCUUGGCCAUGGAAGACUGCUUCCCUGAGACAGCUGGCAGGACGAGGGACAGGGAAGCUUGCCCAACUGAGUGGCUUCCACUUUCUCUCCCUGGACUCCCCCUCCCCCAUCAAAUGUUUCUUCGCUGAGCGAAAACAGCAGAAGUAAUACGGCUACAAAUCAAGAGAAGCCCUGCUUCUGAAUCUGCCUGUGUCCACCUGACCUUUCUGUGUGACUGUGGGCAAGUCGUCUUCCCACCCAGAGAGCAGUUUUGAUAUCUGCACAACCGGGAGGUUGGCCCGCUCAAGGGCAGCAUGCUUCUGGCAUUCCUACUGGAGUUUCCCCUUGCCAUGUCCGCAGCAGACACUACCGGUCACAGGCUCUGGUUAUUCCGCGCCUGUGUGCAGCUUCAGAAACCUUUUCAACACUACUGAUGGACCAGAAAUGGCCAAUGAGAUGAGACUGAUUCAUGAGUGUACUAAGCGAUCUAAACUUAAAAGUACCACCCACGUUUCCACCUCUGAUUUCCCAUGGCUCCAAGGAUCUGAUCUGAGAACCCAAGGAAGACCCUGGACUGAUGGUGAAGACUCGUAAAGAAGGCUAUCUCUCACCUCUGACCUCUCAGCGGGGCUAUACAUUCUCUUGCAUGCACUCUAGAGCAAAGAUGGGGUCAGAAUAGGACACCCAGAUGCUGAAAUCUCACACUCCCAUGGGUCUAUCAGGUCUACAGCAGAGAAAGGAAGAGAUAUGGGUAGAAAUCAAAGUCUCUGGUCAGCGUUGGGAACUGAUGUCCUACCGCAACUGGUGCCACCAGGACCUUCCUCUCCCCAACCACCCCAUGUCAUAAGGGCGAUCAGGCAGUGAUGGCAACAAAGUGAACAACUCCAGCUACCCCAAGAUAAUUUAUGCCAACACAGCCACAUGCCAACGUGUGGACUCACUAUGUAGCCCGGGCUGGUCUCCAGCUCGUGGCAGUCCUCUUGCUUCAGCCUCCCCAGUACUGGGAUUACAGGUGUGCACCUGGCCAAAUGUUGUAGUGAGUUUAACACACCUAGCACAACUAUUAGUACGCAACUAUAGUAGGUACUUAAUAACCGCAGCUACUCCACUAAAGCAUCUCAAGCUUUGUUCAUGGGGACAGGAGGGACCCCCCCCACCCCCACUGCACCCAAAUGUAUCCAUCUCAAGGCCUGCAGGCGCAGCAUGCAUGAAGUUCUCACUCAGAUACCCAAUGCCGUCAAACAUAUUCACACACACCUUGCAUCAACCCUCGGGAGGAUUCUGAGAUGCCAAGGCUGGUUACCAAGGAAAGGUGUUUAGGAGCCUCCCCUGGGGAGUAGCCGCAACUUUCCAGGGCUGUUGAGAACGGAGGCCUGCCCCACAGCAAGAGCCUCACUCACAGGACCCUACAGAGGUCAAAGAAUUUGUGGACUUUCAUGCCAUUUGCUCCCGUUCACAUGUUCACAAGCAAACACGCAUGUGCACAUGUCCCUAAAUUCCCUCUUCCUGGAAACUGUCGGGGCUUUCACUCUACCUCACUCUCUCCCCUCGCCUCCCUUGGGAGGAAAGGCUGCCACAGUCCUUGAAAUCAGCAUUCCCUGAGAUUUGUUUUCUUAGCAGGGAGCUGCAGGGGAGGAGAGAACAGGUUGGCUUAGGCUCAAACGACUGAACAGAAGGGGCUUUGAGAAGAAAAGUGACUUCUUCCCAAGUUCAUCGGAGGUCCUGCCGUGGGGACUGGAAUCCAAAGUGCCCGCCCUAUCUCUGAUCAGCCUGCUUCUCACACCACAGCCACAUGCUGGGCCUGGGUUUCCCUCCCAAGAGUCAUGAGAAAAUUCCGUGCCUCACCGAGCUAUUUUCUCCUUCUUUGGUUUAUAGGAUUCUACAUUUUGAAAAGUUCUGAUAAAUGGUGGGUUUUUUAAAAAAUGUAAAAGGAUUUAAACAAA